AGUGAACGCUGGCGGUAGGCCUAACACAUGCAAGUCGAACGGCAGCACAGUAAGAGCUUGCUCUUACGGGUGGCGAGUGGCGGACGGGUGAGGAAUACAUCGGAAUCUACUUUUUCGUGGGGGAUAACGUAGGGAAACUUACGCUAAUACCGCAUACGACCUACGGGUGAAAGCAGGGGAUCUUCGGACCUUGCGCGAUUGAAUGAGCCGAUGUCGGAUUAGCUAGUUGGCGGGGUAAAGGCCCACCAAGGCGACGAUCCGUAGCUGGUCUGAGCGGAUGAUCAGCCACACUGGAACUGAGACACGGUCCAGACUCCUACGGGAGGCAGCAGUGGGGAAUAUUGGACAAAGGGCGCAAGCCUGAUCCAGCCAUACCGCGUGGGUGAAGAAGGCCUUCGAGUUGUAAAGCCCUUUUGUUGGGAAAGAAAAGCAGCAGGUUAAUACCCCGCUGUUCUGACGGUACCCAAAGAAUAAGCACCGGCUAACUUCGUG
rnacentral:rRNA from 1 species